UAGGGAUUCUUCCGCAAUGGGCGAAAGCCUGACGGAGCAACGCCUCUUGAGUGAUGAAGGUCUUCGGAUCGUAAAACUCUGUUAUUAGGGAAGAACAAAUGUGUAAGUAACUAUGCACGUCUUGACCGUACCUAAUCAGAAAGCCACGGCUAACUACGUGCCAGCAGCCGCGGUAAUACGUAGGUGGCAAUCGUUAUCCGGAAUUAUUUUGCGUAAAGCGCGCGUAGGCGGUUUUUUAAGUCUGAUGUGAAAGCCCACGGCUCAACCGUGGAGGGUCAUUGGAAACUGGAAAACUUGAGUGCAGAAGAGGAAAGUGGAAUUCCAUGUGUAGCGGUGAAAGGCGGAGAGAUAUGGAGGAACGCCAGUGGCGAAGGAGACUUUCUGGUCUGUAAAUGAAGCUGAUGUGCGAAAGCGUGGGGAUCAAACAGG
rnacentral:rRNA from 1 species